ACUGCAUUACUCUAUGCCGCAUAGUAUCUUCUCCAAAACAAAAUAAUUCUGUGUUUUUGUUGUAAACAGGUGUUGCUUUUAUUUUUGCUUUUGCACUUAUAGUGUGAGGACUCAGGUGUAGGAAGAAACUUGCUGCACCAAAUAAUAACAGGGCUUACCAGAACAAUCCGUGACAGAAGAAAAGACAUUUGUUAAGGCUCUCAGCACAG
rnacentral:lncRNA from 1 species